CGGGGGGAGCAAGCGUUGUUCGGAUUUACUGGGCGUAAAGGGCGCGUAGGCGGUAGCACAAGUCAGUUGUGAAAUCUCCGGGCUUAACUCGGAAAGGUCAACUGAUACUGUGCGACUAGAGUGCAGAAGGGGCAACUGGAAUUCUCGGUGUAGCGGUGAAAUGCGUAGAUAUCGAGAGGAACACCUGCGGCGAAGGCGGGUUGCUGGGCUGACACUGACGCUGAUGCGCGAAAGCCAGGGGAGCGAACGGGAUUAGAUACCCCGGUAGUCCUGGCCUUAAACGAUGGAUGCUUGGUGUCUGGAGUUUUAUAGUCUCCGGGUGCCGCAGCUAACGCGUUAAGCAUCCCGCCUGGGGAGUACGGUCGCAAGACUG
rnacentral:rRNA from 1 species